rnacentral:rRNA from 1 species
GACGAACGCUGGCGGCGUGCUUAACACAUGCAAGUCGAACGGAAAGGCCCUGCUUUUGUGGGGUGCUCGAGUGGCGAACGGGUGAGUAACACGUGAGUAACCUGCCCUUGACUUUGGGAUAACUUCAGGAAACUGGGGCUAAUACCGGAUAGGAGCUCCUGCUGCAUGGUGGGGGUUGGAAAGUUUCGGCGGUUGGGGAUGGACUCGCGGCUUAUCAGCUUGUUGGUGGGGUAGUGGCUUACCAAGGCUUUGACGGGUAGCCGGCCUGAGAGGGUGACCGGCCACAUUGGGACUGAGAUACGGCCCAGACUCCUACGGGAGGCAGCAGUGGGGAAUAUUGCACAAUGGGCGGAAGCCUGAUGCAGCAACGCCGCGUGCGGGAUGACGGCCUUCGGGUUGUAAACCGCUUUCGCCUGUGACGAAGCGUGAGUGACGGUAAUGGGUAAAGAAGCACCGGCUAACUACGUGCCAGCAGCCGCGGUGAUACGUAGGGUGCGAGCGUUGUCCGGAUUUAUUGGGCGUAAAGGGCUCGUAGGUGGUUGAUCGCGUCGGAAGUGUAAUCUUGGGGCUUAACCCUGAGCGUGCUUUCGAUACGGGUUGACUUGAGGAAGGUAGGGGAGAAUGGAAUUCCUGGUGGAGCGGUGGAAUGCGCAGAUAUCAGGAGGAACACCAGUGGCGAAGGCGGUUCUCUGGGCCUUUCCUGACGCUGAGGAGCGAAAGCGUGGGGAGCGAACAGGCUUAGAUACCCUGGUAGUCCACGCUGUAAACGGUGGGUACUAGGUGUGGGGUCCAUUCCACGGGUUCCGUGCCGUAGCUAACGCUUUAAGUACCCCGCCUGGGGAGUACGGCCGCAAGGCUAAAACUCAAAGGAAUUGACGGGGCCCCGCACAAGCGGCGGAGCAUGCGGAUUAAUUCGAUGCAACGCGUAGAACCUUACCUGGGUUUGACAUGGAUCGGGAGCGCUCAGAGAUGGGUGUGCCUCUUUUGGGGUCGGUUCACAGGUGGUGCAUGGCUGUCGUCAGCUCGUGUCGUGAGAUGUUGGGUUAAGUCCCGCAACGAGCGCAACCCUUGUUCACUGUUGCCAGCACGUUAUGGUGGGGACUCAGUGGAGACCGCCGGGGUCAACUCGGAGGAAGGUGGGGAUGACGUCAAGUCAUCAUGCCCCUUAUGUCCAGGGCUUCACGCAUGCUACAAUGGCUGGUACAGAGAGUGGCGAGCCUGUGAGGGUGAGCGAAUCUCGGAAAGCCGGUCUCAGUUCGGAUUGGGGUCUGCAACUUGACCUCAUGAAGUCGGAGUCGCUAGUAAUCGCAGAUCAGCAACGCUGCGGUGAAUACGUUCCCGGGGCU